rnacentral:tRNA from 1 species
UGAGCCAGUAGUCUAUUAAGGAUGUAGCGUUGAAGGUGCUAUGGUGACUCUAGGGUCCUGGCUUAG